AAAGCCACGGCUAACUACGUGCCAGCAGCCGCGGUAAUACGUAGGUGGCAAGCGUUGUCCGGAAUUAUUGGGCGUAAAGCGCGCGCAGGUGGUUUCUUAAGUCUGAUGUGAAAGCCCACGGCUCAACCGUGGAGGGUCAUUGGAAACUGGGAGACUUGAGUGCAGAAGAGGAUAGUGGAAUUCCAAGUGUAGCGGUGAAAUGCGUAGAGAUUUGGAGGAACACCAGUGGCGAAGGCGACUAUCUGGUCUGUAACUGACACUGAGGCGCGAAAGCGUGGGGAGCAAACAGGAUUAGAUACCCUGGUAGUCCACGCCGUAAACGAUGAGUGCUAAGUGUUAGGGGGUUUCCGCCCCUUAGUGCUGCAGCUAACGCAUUAAGCACUCCGCCUGGGGAGUACGGUCGCAAGACUGAAACU
rnacentral:rRNA from 1 species